UUCAGGGAGUGGUAUUUUCCAGUUCCACUCAGAUGUCUGAUUGUCAGCUUUAUGUCUCAGGAAGUAUUCCUCGCAAUUCAGGUGCUGUGCUGACAGCAGUAUUUCCUAUGCACACGGAUGGAGCUGACAAGAUCAAUGUGUCCUCUGCACCCCUUACACACUCCGGUUAGCGAUUGUAUCCACUGCUUACAAGCCCUGUUUAAAAUAAGUAAGGAACGGCCAUCUUCGGGAGCACAUUGAAACACGAUAUUCAUAGGGAUAGAAGAAAACAACGUGAAUGUUUGCCACAGU